GAAAAGAAACUAACAAGGAUUCCCCUAGUAACGGCGAGUGAAGCGGGAAGAGCUCAAAUUUGAAAUCUGGUAGCCUUCGGUUGCCCGAGUUGUAAUCUAGAGAAAUGUUUUCCGUGCCGGCCCAUGUACAAGUCCCUUGGAACAGGGCGUCAUAGAGGGUGAGAAUCCCGUCCUUGACAUGGACCCCCGGUGCUUUGUGAUACAUUUUCAACGAGUCGAGUUGUUUGGGAAUGCAGCUCAAAAUGGGUGGUGAAUUCCAUCUAAAGCUAAAUAUUGGCGAGAGACCGAUAGCGAACAAGUACCGUGAGGGAAAGAUGAAAAGCACUUUGGAAAGAGAGUUAAACAGUACGUGAAAUUGUUGAAAGGGAAACGAUUGAAGUCAGUCAUGCUCUUUGGUAUUUAUAUCAUUGAGUGGGGUCAACAUCAGUUUUGAUCGAUGGAUAAAGGCACUAGGAAUGUAGCACUCUCGGGUGAACUUAUAGCCUAGCGUCAUAUACAUUGAUUGGGACUGAGGAACGCAGCAUGCCUUUAUGGCCGGGAUUCGUCCACGUA
rnacentral:rRNA from 1 species